rnacentral:rRNA from 1 species
UACGUAGGGUGCGAGCGUUAAUCGGAAUUACUGGGCGUAAAGCGUGCGCAGGCGGUUUUGCAAGCCAGAUGUGAAAUCCCCGGGCUCAACCUGGGAAUGGCAUUGGAUACUGGCUCGCUAGAGUGCGGUAGAGGGUGGUGGAAUUCCCGGUGUAGCAGUGAAAUGCGUAGAGAUCGGGAGGAACAUCUGUGGCGAAGGCGGCCACCUGGACCAACACUGACACCGAGGCACGAAAGCGUGGGGAGCAAACAGG